GCGGAUGUGGCGGAAUUGGUAGACGCGCCACCUUGAGGGGGUGGUGAGCUUUGCUCGUGGGGGUUCGAGUCCCCCCAUCCGCA
rnacentral:tRNA from 1 species